rnacentral:rRNA from 1 species
GACGAGCGCUGGCGGCGUGCUUAACACGUGCGAGUCGAACGAUGAGGCCUAGCUUGCUAGGUGGAUUAGUGGCGAACGGGUGAGUAAUACGUGAGUAACCUACCUUUAACUCUGGGAUAAGCCUGGGAAACUGGGUCUAAUACCGGAUACGACCAAUCUCCGCAUGGGGUGUUGGUGGAAAGCGUUAUGUAGUGGUUAUAGAUGGGCUCACGGCCUAUCAGCUUGUUGGUGAGGUAACGGCUCACCAAGGCGACGACGGGUAGCCGGCCUGAGAGGGUGACCGGCCACACUGGGACUGAGACACGGCCCAGACUCCUACGGGAGGCAGCAGUGGGGAAUAUUGCACAAUGGGCGCAAGCCUGAUGCAGCGACGCCGCGUGAGGGAUGACGGCCUUCGGGUUGUAAACCUCUGUUAGCAGGGAAGAAGAGAGAUUGACGGUACCUGCAGAGAAAGCGCCGGCUAACUACGUGCCAGCAGCCGCGGUAAUACGUAGGGCGCGAGCGUUGUCCGGAAUUAUUGGGCGUAAAGAGCUUGUAGGCGGUUUGUCGCGUCUGCUGUGAAAGGCCGGAGCUUAACUCCGUGUAUUGCAGUGGGUACGGGCAGACUAGAGUGCAGUAGGGGAGACUGGAAUUCCUGGUGUAGCGGUGGAAUGCGCAGAUAUCAGGAGGAACACCGAUGGCGAAGGCAGGUCUCUGGGCUGUAACUGACGCUGAGAAGCGAAAGCAUGGGGAGCGAACAGGAUUAGAUACCCUGGUAGUCCAUGCUGUAAACGUUGGGCACUAGGUGUGGGGGACAUUCCACGUUUUCCGCGCCGUAGCUAACGCAUUAAGUGCCCCGCCUGGGGAGUACGGCCGCAAGGCUAAAACUCAAAGAAAUUGACGGGGCCCGCACAAGCGGCGGAGCAUGCGGAUUAAUUCGAUGCAACGCGAAGAACCUUACCAAGGCUUGACAUAUACUGGACCGCAUCAGAGAUGGUGUUUCCCUUCGGGGCUGGUAUACAGGUGGUGCAUGGUUGUCGUCAGCUCGUGUCGUGAGAUGUUGGGUUAAGUCCCGCAACGAGCGCAACCCUCGUUCUAUGUUGCCAGCACGUUAUGGUGGGGACUCAUAGGAGACUGCCGGGGUCAACUCGGAGGAAGGUGGGGAUGACGUCAAAUCAUCAUGCCCCUUAUGUCUUGGGCUUCACGCAUGCUACAAUGGCCGGUACAGAGGGUUGCGAUACUGUGAGGUGGAGCUAAUCCCUAAAAGCCGGUCUCAGUUCGGAUUGGGGUCUGCAACUCGACCCCAUGAAGUCGGAGUCGCUAGUAAUUGCAGAUCAGCAACGCUGCGGUGAAUACGUUCCCGGGCCU